rnacentral:rRNA from 1 species
GGCCUAAUACAUGCAAGUCGAGGGGUAAUUCUGCUUUCGGGCAGGAACGACCGGCGAACGGGUGCGUAACGCGUAUGCAACCUACCCACAACUGAGGGAUAGCCCGGAGAAAUUCGGAUUAAUACCUCAUAAUGCAGGGGUACCGCAUGGUACUAUUUGCUAAAGAUUUAUCGGUUGUGGAUGGGCAUGCGUCUGAUUAGGUAGGUGGUGAGGUAACGGCUCACCAAGGCGACGAUCAGUAGGGGGUCUGAGAGGAUGAUCCCCCACACUGGUACUGAGAUACGGACCAGACUCCUACGGGAGGCAGCAGUAGGGAAUAUUGGUCAAUGGGCGCAAGCCUGAACCAGCCAUGCCCGCGUGCAGGAUGACGGCCUUCUGGGUUGGAAACUGCUUUUAUCAGGGAAGAAAACGGCCAUGCGUGGCAGAUUGACGGUACCUGAAGAAUAAGCACCGGCUAACUCCGUGCCAGCAGCCGCGGUAAUACGGAGGGUGCAAGCGUUGUCCGGAUUUAUUGG